rnacentral:tRNA from 1 species
GGAGAAAUAGCAUAAGGUUAAUGCGUUUCCUUUACACGGAAAAGAUAGCAAGAUGUAGCUUUUCUCCU